CAGACUUUAGUUUAUUUAGAAUGGGGGUUUUGGGGACCUUUGGUCCUUUUGGAUGUUUGG
rnacentral:tRNA from 1 species